rnacentral:miRNA from 1 species
AUAAAUAUAAGAAAAAGGGGGUGAAGGGCUGCGCUAUGAAAAAGAGAUAAUAAAUAGUAAAAUUUUACUAUUUAUUAUCUCUUUUUCAUAGCGCAGCCCUUCACCCCCUUUUUCUUUUCCGAUAUCU